rnacentral:rRNA from 1 species
AUUGAACGCUGGCGGCAGGCCUAACACAUGCAAGUCGAGCGAGAGGCAGACGGGAGAGUUAUGUAUGGAGUUCUGACCGAUAGAGGGGUAUAAAUACUGGAAACGGUGUCUAAUACCGCAUCCUGACGGAUGAACCCAUAUGGGAUUAGCUAGUCGGUGGGGUAAAGGCUCACCUAGGCGAAGAUCUCUAGCUGGUCUGUGAGGAUGAUCAGCCACACUGGGACUGAGACACGGCCCAGACUCCUACGGGAGGCAGCAGUGGGGAAUAUUGCACAAUGGGCUCAAGCCUGAUGCAGCCAUGCCGCGUGUAUGAAGAAGGUCUUAGGGUUGUAAAGUACUUUCAGCGGGGAGGCGUUACCCGCAGAAGAAGCACCGGCUAACUCCGUGCCAGCAGCCGCGGUAAUUC